ACGGAAGGCAGCAGUAGGGAAUUUUCGGCAAUGGGGGGAACCCUGACCGAGCAACGCCGCGUGAUCGAAGAAGUAUUUCGGUAUGUAAAGAUCUUUUAUUUGGGACGAAAAAACAAAUUGACGGUACCAAAUGAAUAAGCCCCGGCUAACUAUGUGCCAGCAGCCGCGGUAAUACAUAGGGGGCGAGCGUUAUCCGGAAUUAUUGGGCGUAAAGGGUGCGUAGGUGGCAAUGAAAGUCUUUGGUUAAAAUGCUAGGCUCAACCUAGUAGUGCUAAAGAAACUUCAUAGCUAGAGUAUGGUAGAGGUGAGUGGAACUCCAUGUGUAGCGGUAAAAUGCGUAAAUAUAUGGAAGAACACCAGUGGCGAAGGCGGCUCACUAGACCGAGACUGACACUGAGGCACGAAAGCGUGGGGAGCAAACAGGAUUAGAUACCCUGGUA
rnacentral:rRNA from 1 species